UACGGAGGGUGCAAGCGUUAUCCGGAUUUACUGGGUUUAAAGGGUGCGUAGGUGGGUUGGUAAGUCAGUGGUGAAAUACUUUCGCUUAACGAAGGAACUGCCAUUGGUACUAUCAGUCUUGAAUACAGUGGAGGUAGGCGGAAUGCGUCAUGUAGCGGUGAAAUGCUUAGAUAUGACGCAGAACACCAAUUGCGAAGGCAGCUUGCUACACUGUUAUUGACACUGAGGCACGAAAGCGUGGGGAUCAAACAGG
rnacentral:rRNA from 1 species